CUGUCUCUACAAUGGUUUUCUACAGCUUCCCACCUCUGGGAAGGGCAGCUCCUGCCACCCAGUAACAGGGUUUACGUGAGCUGGGCGUUGCUGAGGAGGGACGGGCACGCUUCACCUCAAGGUAAAACUCUUGUACUUGCAGUGUAUCAUCAGCCAUACAAAAACAGCAGCCACUUGACUGCAUCUUCUUGUGUAAAAAGGCAGUUCCUUUUGUUCUGUGGUUGGCAUCAGGAACUUCACGCCAGUGAUUUUUUUUUUUCAAGUUGUUGUUUUCUCUUCUCCUGUUUGAACGAGCCUCCGAGCCUCCGUGCCUCCCCUCACCCCACCGCCACCUUUUUGCAGUCUCACCUACCGGUUUUGUCUCUUGAUGACGCCACGCAGACGUCUCACGGCGUGUCCCGGGCCAGCAUGGGAGCAGGGGCACCCUCGCACCUAGGCAAAGGCAGGCUGGAGGAAGGAGGCGGUGGCAGAGGGCAGCGAAGGUCCCUGCUGACAGCUCUGCCUCUAGGCGCAGGUUGAAAGGAAGGCCCUCGCCUGCACUUGUGGGACGAGGUGCUGGGUGACCAUCCCCCCACAGGAGAGCGACACCUCCCAGCCUGCCGGUAAGACCCUGCGGUGUUGAGCUGGUUCAGCUGCCUCCCGGCGGUGCCCCCAGUGCCCUGCACGGCAGCAUCGCCCCUCGCCUGCACAGGGCGGCUCCUUCUCCCACCUUCUCCACCAGAAACGAUCUCCAGUUGCCUUGCACAUGCCCCUGCCCAGUGGCAUGGAGCGGCUUCCCAAAGGGAAGGUAAUAGACGAGAGGCUCAAACCCAGACAGGUCCACCUCCUUUCACCCACCUAGAUUUGCUAGCAUUAAGCUUAAACCUGUGGGCUGAAUCCCUGCUACCGGGCUCUUCUGGUGGCACGUGCCUUUUGGCUCUGGUCACCCUGCUUGUGAGAUGUCUGGGGCCGUUGUCAUUGCGCCUACCUGCUGACCAAAUGCAAAGCCUGGCUCCACUGCCUCCGUGACACAGGACAAGGGGGUCUGCCCCAUGUUUGUCUGGAGAACAGCCAAGCUGGGAGCUGGGCUUUAUCUUUUGUUGUUCAGCAAGAGUUUGGUUUUAGGUGCUGAGCUGACUCUCUGAAAGGCCUGGACUGCUUUGAGGCCCUGCCUGUGCAGGGAAAAACAUGCCUUGCGAGCACCCUGCUCUUCAUAGCCUGCAGCAAGAGUGCACGGCAGCACUGGGAGGGCUGAAGCACAGUUCAGAGUUUAUGUGCAUAACCCGGUUUUCUAAAAACAGAACACUUACUCAGAAAUAGAGUAGAGGUGCCACUUGACUUUACUCCAGCCCUUUUAUAUAUAGUCCUUAUUUCUCCUGAUUUUACUUCAGCAGUUACUAUAUGAAUUGAAGCUUAGAAGUGGUGUGGAGGGGGAGAGAGGACUUAGGAUCAACUUAUAUGUUCAGUUGUUGAGCUGAAGUUGCUGGUUUAAUGGAUACGGGGAGGUCAUGGCUGUGGAGUUCCCUCUGCAAAACCUUUUUAAAGACUAGCCUUCAUCCAUCAAACGACUGAAACUGGUGGUGGGGGUGUUAGUUAAUAUUAUCUCAAAUGAAACCUGAAUCUCUUUUUUUUUUCCCCCAGGGAAUAGAACACUAACAUUCUCAUUACUGUUUUUCUUCCUUUUUUUUUUUUUUUAAGUAGCAUAGAGAAGCAGCAAACCCAAGAGCUUUAUUUUCCUGCAAUAUGGGACUAUGCAGAGCUUUUGCAAUAUAUGCUUGGUUUAGCCUCAAGCCUUUUCAAGGGAGAUGCUUGGGACCAGCUCCAGGAACCAACAUGGCUCAAAACCGAUAGUCAAAAUGAAGGGAAGAGAGCACUGGGAGUCUGACCUUACCUUUAAGCACCUUGACCUUGGAGGCUGCAAUAGGCUCCUUUCAGUUUGUCGUGCAACUUAGAAGAACCCCUAAAACAUCAACUAAACACUUCGAAGAACUGCAGUGUUCCCGCCACCCCUUUCCUUGAUAUGCCUCAAGAUGAUGUAAAUGAGAGCUGCAUUUACUUUGGAGAUUCCCAAACUGAUGAAUCAAGGUCUCUGCUUAUGAAAGCAACUCAAAGCACACAUAAAUAGGAGGCCAGUCUCUUUCUUUCUUGGCGUUUUUACAAAGCUAUGGCAAUGUAAAUAGAGACUCAUAACAGCCACAACAUAGAUCACUAGAGGAGCCUGAAGUGUCUUCCUAGAAAAGAUUCACAUAUGCAUGAAUCUUUGGCCCAGAUUGUUUUAAGUAGAGCUAAACAAAAACUGCUCUUUUUAGACACUUAGGCUGCUCUACUCAGUUAGGGAAUUUAAAAGUGAGGGACUUCUUUCCAUUUAAAGAAUUGACCUGAUUUUUCUUUCUUCAAUGGUGCCAAGGAACUUCUGAAAAAAUGGCUUGCCUCCUUCCAAAGAUUUUCCUACUUCAUUUUAAUAAAGGCAAUGUAUGAUCAGCA
rnacentral:lncRNA from 1 species